rnacentral:rRNA from 1 species
CCCAAACUGGGAUUAGAUACCCCACUAUGCCUAGCCCUAAAUCUAGAUACCUCCCAUCACACAUGUAUCCGCGUGAGAACUACGAGCACAAACGCUUAAAACUAUAAGGAAAGGGCGGUGCCCCAAAUCCACCUAGAGGAACCAGUUCUAUAA